GACGAACGCUGGCGGCGUGCUUAACACAUGCAAGUCAAACGGAAAGGCCCUGCUUUUGUGGGGUGCUCGAGUGGCGAACGGGUGAGUAACACGUGAGUAACCUGCCCUUGACUUUGGGAUAACUUCAGGAGACUGGGGCUAAUACCGGAUAGGAGCUCCUGCUGCAUGGUGGGGGUUGGAAAGUUUCGGCGGUUGGGGAUGGACUCGCGGCUUAUCAGCUUGUUGGUGGGGUAGUGGCUUACCAAGGCUUUGACGGGUAGCCGGCCUGAGAGGGUGACCGGCCACAUUGGGACUGAGAUACGGCCCAGACUCCUACGGGAGGCAGCAGUGGGGAAUAUUGCACAAUGGGCGGAAGCCUGAUGCAGCAACGCCGCGUGCGGGAUGACGGCCUUCGGGUUGUAAACCGCUUUCGCCUGUGACGAAGCGUGAGUGACGGUAAUGGGUAAAGAAGCACCGGCUAACUACGUG
rnacentral:rRNA from 1 species